rnacentral:tRNA from 1 species
CAGAAUAUAGUUUAUAAAAUAUUAGUUUUGGAGACUAAAGAAGUUUUUAAAAAGACUAUUCUGA